GACAAAACCAGUGAUAGAGGUUGCUUUCAAAGAUUUAACCCUUACUUUGAAAGGUAAAAAAAAACAUCUUCUUAGAUGUGUCACUGGGAAACUCAUGCCAGGCCGAGUUUCCGCUAUCAUGGGUCCAUCAGGAGCUGGCAAGACAACAUUUCUUUCUGCUUUGGCAGGAAAAGUAACUGGAUGCACCAUGAAAGGUGUAAUUCUCAUAAACGGUAAAAAUGAAUCCAUUCAUUCCUAUAAGAAAAUUACUGGUUUUGUGCCACAAGAUGAUAUCGUGCAUGGAAACUUGACAGUGGAAGAGAAUCUCCGAUUCAGUGCAAGAUGCAGAUUAUCUGCUGAUAUGCCUAAAGCUGACAAGGUUCUGGUAAUUGAAAGAGUUAUCGAGUCCUUGGGAUUACAGGCAGUAAGAGAUUCUUUGGUUGGGACAGUGGAGAAGCGAGGAAUUUCUGGAGGCCAGAGGAAACGUGUGAAUGUUGGACUUGAAAUGGUCAUGGAACCUUCGCUAUUGAUUUUGGAUGAGCCCACAUCAGGUUUGGACAGCGCAUCUUCUCUGUUGCUUCUAAAAGCACUACGACGUGAAGCUCUUGAAGGGGUAAACAUCAGCAUGGUAAUCCAUCAGCCUAGCUAUGCCCUGUUCAAGAUGUUUGACGAUUUAAUACUUCUGGCAAAAGGUGGUCUUACUGUGUAUCAUGGUCCUGUAAAGAAAGUUGAAGAAUACUUUGCUGGCCUUGGGAUUAUUGUACCAGAGCGUGUUACUCCGCCAGACCACUUCAUUGACAUUCUGGAGGGUAUAGUAAAACCAAACUCAAAUGUAACUCAUGAACAGCUGCCUAUCAGAUGGAUGCUACAUAAUGGGUAUCCAGUGCCCCCCGAUAUGCUGCAUUAUGCAGAUACACUUGGUACAGCCUCAACAGACUCAAAUACAGAUGAUAUAGAAGAUACUAGCGGUGCAGCUAUUGAACAGUCUUUCGCUGGAGAUUUGUGGGAGGACAUGAAAUCUAAUGUUGAGCUACAGAAAGAUCAUAUACAACACAUCUUUUUGAAGUCUAAGGACUUAUCCAACAGAAGAACUCCUGGUGUAACCCGCCAGUUAAGAUAUUUCCUUGGGAGGAUUGGCAAGCAACGACUACGAGAAGCUAGACUACAUGCAGUUGAUUAUGUGAUUCUAUUACUAGCUGGAGCAUGUUUAGGAACUCUUACAAAAGUGGAUGAUGAAACAUUUGGGACCACGGGCUAUACUUUUACUGUCAUUUCUGUUUCAUUGCUUUGCAAGAUUGCAGCAUUAAGAUCAUUUUCUUUGGACAAAUUGCACUACUGGAGAGAGAGUGCAUCUGGAAUCAGCAGUCUUGCCUAUUUUCUAUCUAGAGAUACACUUGACCAUUUUAAUACAAUUGUCAAACCUUUGGUUUAUUUAUCCAUGUUCUAUUUCUUCAACAACCCUAGAUCAACUUUUACUGACAAUUACGUUGUUUUGGUCUGCCUUGUGUACUGUGUGACUGGCAUAGCUUAUGUACUUGCGAUCUAUCUUGCACCUAGUCCUGCCCAACUGUGGUCAGUACUUAUCCCCGUUGUCCUGACUCUCGUUGCAACUCAGGAGCAACAAAGUGUAUUUGUGAAGUUUUUGGGAAAUUUGUGCUACCCAAAAUGGGCAAUGGAAGCCUUUAUCAUUGCAAAUGCUGAAAGGUAUUCUGGGGUCUGGCUUUUAACUCGCUGCCACUCGUUGUUGUCAAACAGCUAUAAUAUUGGACACUGGAAUCUUUCUCUACAACUUCUCAUUCUUACCGGCAUACUCAGCCGUUUUGUAGCUUACUUUCUGCUAGUCACCUUCCAAAAGAAGUGAAUUGGGAAUUUAACCCUUCAUGUUCAUGUAGUAUUUUGCUAUAUAGAAGAUUAGAGAAGUGCAGUCUUCAUACACUAGUAUUAUAAGAACCCAGCAUGGUAUAGAACAGUACAACACAAACUCCUCCAAGUGACCCAGAACAGGAUACAGUUGGCUAACAAAACAAAUUAUUCAGUGUAGAGUCAGGUGUAAUGACCCAACUUAGGUUUUGUGAUCAUUUUCUUGUGUACAUUUACCCCUCUUAUGGGGAAGAAUGAAAGGGAAAUUGACAUUUUAUGUCUAGUUUUG
rnacentral:misc_RNA from 1 species